rnacentral:rRNA from 1 species
GACGAACGCUGGCGGCGUGCCUAAUACAUGCAAGUAGAACGCUGAAGGAGGAGCUUGCUUCUCCGGAUGAGUUGCGAACGGGUGAGUAACGCGUAGGUAACCUGCCUGGUAGCGGGGGAUAACUAUUGGAAACGAUAGCUAAUACCGCAUAAGAGUAGAUGUUGCAUGACAUUUGCUUAAAAGGUGCAAUUGCAUCACUACCAGAUGGACCUGCGUUGUAUUAGCUAGUUGGUGGGGUAACGGCUCACCAAGGCGACGAUACAUAGCCGACCUGAGAGGGUGAUCGGCCACACUGGGACUGAGACACGGCCCAGACUCCUACGGGAGGCAGCAGUAGGGAAUCUUCGGCAAUGGACGGAAGUCUGACCGAGCAACGCCGCGUGAGUGAAGAAGGUUUUCGGAUCGUAAAGCUCUGUUGUAAGAGAAGAACGAGUGAGAGAGUGGAAAGUUCACACUGUGACGGUAUCUUACCAGAAAGGGACGGCUAACUACGUGCCAGCAGCCGCGGUAAUACGUAGGUCCCGAGCGUUGUCCGGAUUUAUUGGGCGUAAAGCGAGCGCAGGCGGUUAGAUAAGUCUGAAGUUAAAGGCUGUGGCUUAACCAUAGUACGCUUUGGAAACUGUUUAACUUGAGUGCAAGAGGGGAGAGUGGAAUUCCAUGUGUAGCGGUGAAAUGCGUAGAUAUAUGGAGGAACACCGGUGGCGAAAGCGGCUCUCUGGCUUGUAACUGACGCUGAGGCUCGAAAGCGUGGGGAGCAAACAGG